GUCAAAGCGUGCAUGCCACACAAUGUGCCUGGAGAGAUUGAUGUUUUUGUCAUCCACCUGCUUCAAAAGCCGUAAAAAAGCCGGCUGAUGCAAACAGAGAAACCUAGCCCGGGCAGGCUCACAAACACAAGAGGGGGACCCUCACUGCUCCACAUCUGUUUGGGAGGAAUAUCUGAGGUUUCUGUUGUGAUGCAAAUGAAUCUGGGGUUGCUGCUGCUACUGUACAUCACUGUCCGCCUGUUAACCACUGGAAAACAAGACAUGCUACAAGAAUGGACAAGAGUCGAGAGUUCAUCUCCAGAUGUAGCAACGGAUCCCCUAUUUUUUGUGUGAGUGGAAGUGGGGCAUUGAGCCUGGGCGGAGGGCUGGGAGGAGAGAUGGCUGACGGGGAGCAUGCUGACUGGAGGAGUGCCAACCACUCUCACCCAGGUCAAAAGCUAUGAACUCAAGAGUGGGCAUGUGCCAGAGUCACGGCGGGCCUGCCAACUGCUACAAGCCUGUGGCCAGACGGCGAGCAGACCGGGGUCAGGAGCAGCCAAGUGGUGUCCAGUGAGGGAUAGCCCGGUUUAAUGUUGGCCAAACAACGCCCCCAGGCUGGCUGGACUCACUCAACAUGACUGCUGUGUGUGUGUGUGUGUGUGUGUGUGUGUGUGUGUGUGUGUGUGUGUGUGUGUGUGUGUGUGUGUGUCGACAGAAAGAGAAUGCUAAGCCUGUCCUCUGUGGGUUUCCUCUGCUGUUUACUGUCCAGAGCAGGAUGAGAGGAUGAUAUCCCUUUCCUAAAUGCCCAUGUGCUAAACUCUGUUUGUUCUAUAUCAACAAAGGUUAUAAUUUAUUAAAAAAGUAUAAUAUUCUAAUAUUAUGACUUUCCAUUUAAAGUAAUUUAAUGUUAAUUUGAAUUGCAAUCAACCCUUUUUUCUUUUUUGUUUACCAUGAUGUUUUGUUAUUAUUUCUUUAUUAAUGAUUAUUCUAUUGUUUUAAUAAAUGUUUAAUUAGUUUUUUCUUCAUUUUUUUAUUAUCAUUAGUUUUACCUAUUUGGUUCAGUUGAAAAGAUACAAGGUAUAAUUUGUAAUAUGACUUUGUAUGUGUUGUUUUUUAAUUAUGUUGGAUUAUUUAUUGU